CUGAGUGCCUAUAAAUGCAGCCUUCACAGGCCCAAACAUUUCAAAGCGUCUUGUGGUGUUCAGAAGUCAUUUAAUUGAUUGCUAGCCCUUUUCCCCUUCCUGCAAAAAUGUCUUCUACCUGUGAUAACUGCGACUGUGCAGACAAAAGCCAGUGCACCAAGAAGGGUUACACUUUCCAGGUGGAAGGGAUUGUGGAAACCAGCUUCAAUAUGAGCUUCUCUGAGUGCGAGACCGUGCAAGGAGAAAAUGAUUGCAACUGUGGACCUGGCUGCACAUGCACCUCAUGCCCCUGUCACAAGUGAUGUUUCACAAGCUUCCUCGAGAGUAUAUAUAGAUAAUAUGUAAAUAAAUGCAAUGCGCAUAAGGAACCAAGUUUGUGUUUGUGCUUCUGUAGAAAGGCCUUUUCAAAGGAUUUCUGUGGCUACGGUCUGCAGAGCCAGUGCAGUGUAAUCACUAGUAGAUUAUACUCCGUAGUUGUGUUGAUGCAUGUUUCUUAAUGAAUCAAGUGUUUUAACUAAA